rnacentral:tRNA from 1 species
GUGGUUAUGGCUCAGUGGGAGAGUGCAUGCUUAGCGUGCAUGAGGUCCUGGAUUCAAUCCCCAGUACCUCCA